rnacentral:rRNA from 1 species
CAUUACGUAUCGGAGUUCAACUGUAUUCCGGAGAUCAGCCAACGGAUCCUCAUCGAGUACCAGGAUGUCAGCCAACUUGCCUUCCUCGAUUGUACCGAGAUCCUUGCCAAAUCCGAUCGCCUCAGCACCGUAGAUCGUAGCUGCCCGCAAAAUGUCGUGAUUGGAUGCACCACCGGAACCCAUGGCCCACAUCUCCCAAUGGUAGCCCAAUCCCUGAAGCUGACCGUGACUGCCAACCGCGGCGCGCGCGCUGUCUUCCAGCAACUUCUUCACGAAUACAGCGUGCUUGGGGAAUACGUACUCCUCGUCGAGGAACCAUCCCGCCGGUCCUGGGCUACCGCCGGUACCGGUACCGCGGCGCCGGCUGCGCGCAUCGACGCUCUCAUGUGGCGAGAACCGUCGCAUCUUCUCGUUGUCGUGGACGUUCUCCUUGGCGUAGAAAUAGUUUUCUCCGAACGGCCCACCGUACGAAACGAGCAAUGUCGGACUGUUGGUGG